GCUUGUGACCAAAUCACCCAGAAUGCGCCAAAUCUCAUCAGAACUCGGUAGCUAGGCAGGGUUUAGCCUGGAUAAUGCUUGGAUGGGCAACCACAAUGCAUAACAGGUGUUAUAGGCU
rnacentral:rRNA from 1 species